rnacentral:rRNA from 1 species
CAGUCGCCACGGUAAUACGUAGGGUGCGAGCGUUAAUCGGAAUUACUGGGCGUAAAGCGUGCGCAGGCGGUUGUGUAAGACAGGUGUGAAAUCCCCGGGCUUAACCUGGGGACUGCGCUUGUGACUGCACAGCUAGAGUAUGGCAGAGGGGGGUGGAAUUCCACGUGUAGCAGUGAAAUGCGUAGAGAUGUGGAGGAACACCGAUGGCGAAGGCAGCCCCCUGGGCCAAUACUGACGCUCAUGCACGAAAGCGUGGGGAGCAAACAGGAUUAGAUACCCGAGUAGUCCCUGUCUCUUAUAC